CCCUUAGAUGUCCUGGGCCGCACGCGCGUUACACUGAUGCAUUCAACGAGCUUAUAACCUUGGCCGAGAGGCCUGGGCAAUCUUGUUAACGUGCAUCGUGAUAGGGAUAGAUUAUUGAAAUUAUUAAUCUUGAACGAGGAAUUCCUAGUAAACGCAGAUCAUCAAUCUGCAUUGAUUACGUCCCUGCCCUUUGUACACACCGCCCGUCGCACCUACCGAUUGAAUGAUUUAGUGAGGACUUCGGACUGGGACCGAUGCGGCUUUCGGGCUGCGUCGGUAUUCUGGAAAGAUGUCCAAACUGUAUCAUUUAGAGGAAGUAAAAGUCGUAACA
rnacentral:rRNA from 1 species